rnacentral:lncRNA from 1 species
GGACAUUCAAGGUGCAAUAGUAGGAUCAGGGUUGCCGCAAGCGCUAGGUGCCACAGACUCAAAAUGCCCAAGGGCCUGAGCGAGGCGAGGUGCUCCUGAAUAUUAUAAUUUAAAAAUUAUAUAUCAUGAUUAAUAAAAAUAAACUAAAAAGUAGCACUGAUGUUUCAUCUGAAGUGCUGCCUACCGUAGCCAUGAUUCAAGAUUCUAAAGCUGCAACAGCAAUCCAAAACACUAAAAAGUAGCACUAAUCACUACAGCAAUAGCAAUAAUAAUCAAUAUUUAAUUAAUGAUUCACUGCAGUAAAGAAGGCAGUUGCUGUUCCCUAAAGUCAGCUGAUGUUCACAGGGAAGGGGCAGUUGCUGUUCACUACAGCAGGCAGCUGCUGUUCACAGGGGAAAGGGGGCUAUGACAAGGCCGGGAUGGGGGGAGACGGGGGGCUGCGGUGACCAUAGGAGGGCUGCAGUGAACAGGGCAGAGGUAGGAGGAAGGAGGGAGGUGGAAAAAAGAGAAAGAUAUUCUGGGAGGAAGGGAAAGCCGCCACCGUUGUUGCCAGAGGAAGAUGUCGCCGCUACUGUUAGAGGAAGACAUUGUUGUUGGUACUGGAGGACGACGCUGCUGGGGAAGAAGGCGAUUGCCAUCAUUCACCGAUGGGAGGAGCGCCACUGCCAUGCAGAAAUAGGAAAGAGGGUUUCUACGUUAGGGUUCUUCUCGCACGUGAGGUUUCAGGCUUUUUGCGACUGUGUGAUAGAUAACUGGUUCAAUCGAUCCAAUUGUCUUGCGUUUGGUUCGACUCAAGCUUGAUGGUUAAUUGAUUCAAUCGAACAAGAUAAGUUAGUUUGGUUCAACUCAAGCUUGACCUAGCAAGAGUUGAACUAGGUGGGCACUCGACCCACCUAGCGCUUGGGCCAUGCCUGAGUGAAGACACCCGCCCAGCGCCUGGUGACUUCACUGAGCAAGAUUCAUCGAAAAUAGACAAUAUGAUCAGUAAGUCCAUACUAGUUUUUAGGUGACUCAUCAUUAACGUAUGGUAACUGCUGAUUCAAUUGGUCUUUAAUGUGGGGUUGGUACCUUUGAAUUUUUCUGUAUUCCUCUUUUCUGCCUAAAAUACAAGAGCAGAUUGACUAUCACAAAAUUUGAUAAUAUUUUAUCAAAUCGUAAGGCAGAAAUUGAGGUGAACCAAGGGAACCAUGCCAGUCACCUCAUGCAGAGUUGCAACAUGCUAGCAAUACCUCUAAAUUUUCUAAGCUGUAUACAAUAUUUACCACUUCUUUGUACAAAUAUAAAU